rnacentral:lncRNA from 1 species
UGGAGUAGAGGUUACAAAGAACCAGAUGAUAUCUCAGGAGAGAUUCAGGAUUGUUGAGGAUCAACAAUUGUUGACAUAAGUGAACAACUGGAUUGUUGAGAGAGAGAGUAGCUGAAUGUUUUUUCCUGUCACCAUUACUGAGAAUUCACAUCUGUAGUCAUCAGAAGUUACAGGCAGAAAAGAACUAAAUGCCACCAUCGUAUAAUUCUUCUCUGGAAACACUGACUGCAAAAUAUGUACUAAGUGUGUGAAUGGUCUGUCC